rnacentral:misc_RNA from 1 species
GAUUAAUAAUUAUAAUAAUAUAUCGAUUUUAUUUAUUAUUUGUUUGAGCUCUCGGACUCAUUAGUGAAAGAAAGAUUAUAGUUUUUAUUAAAUAAAAAUUCUUUGUUUAGGCCUUCGGAUCUCUUUAUGAACGGAGGGGAAAGACGGUAGUAUUGAAUUGAUUUGCCCUUUUAGUACACUUGGCAGGCCAUUUGGGUUUUGUGGCACAGUACUUGCUCGCAUAUAGGCAGAGAACUUUGAAAAGAGGCAAUUUUUUUUUUAAUUUUCGCACACAAA